UAGGGAAUUUUGCGCAAUGGACGAAAGUCUGACGCAGCAACGCCGCGUGAGGGAUGAAGGUCUUCGGAUUGUAAACCUCUGUUGAAUGGGAAAAAAAGGUAGCAAUACUUUGAUGGUACCAUUUGAGGAAGCACCGGCUAACUACGUGCCAGCAGCCGCGGUAAUACGUAGGGUGCAAGCGUUGUUCGGAAUCACUGGGCGUAAAGGGAGCGUAGGCGGGAUCGUAAGUUAGGAGUUUAAUACAUGGGCUUAACCCGUGGCUGGCUUUUAAUACUGCGGUUCUUGAGUAUGGGAGAGGGCGAUGGAAUUCCAGGUGUAGCGGUGGAAUGCGUAGAUAUCUGGAAGAACACCAGUAGCGAAGGCGGUCGCCUGGCCCAAUACUGACGCUGAGGCUCGAAAGCUAGGGGAGCAAACAGG
rnacentral:rRNA from 2 species